AUGAUAGUUGCUGGGAAAACCAAAUCCAUUAUCCUCCAGGAACCAGGAUUUCUAGGGAUCCUGCUGCUGGUCACAGGAUGUCACCUGUCAACCUCUCUCUGUGGGGAUGAGUGUGGUAGCCGUGUGAACUCCCUCAUGAGCAGAUGCCACCAGGAGCAGUGGCCCCAGCUUCCUCCAUCACAGCUGCAGCGGGGGUUGGGUAGGGGCGUCCAGGGAGGGUUUUUGUAUGAGCCUGUGUCACAGCAUUGGGUGUUCGGCGAGGGGACCAAGCUGACCAUCCUAGGUCAGCCCAAGGUUGCCCCCUCGGUCACUCUGUUCCCGCCCUCCUCUGAGGAGCUCCAAGCAAACAAGGCCACACUAGUGUGUCUGAUCAAUGACUUCUACCCGGGAGCCGUGGAAGUGGCCUGGAAGGCAGAUGGCAGCGCUGUCAACACGGGAGUGGAGACCACCACACCCUCCAAACAGAGCAACAACAAGUACGCGGCCAGCAGCUACCUGAGCCUGACGUCCGACCAGUGGAAGUCCCACAAGAGCUACAGCUGCCAGGUCACGCACAAAGGGAGCACCGUGGAGAAGACAGUGGCCCAUGCAGAAUGCUCUUAGGCCCCCGACCCUUCCCCCAGCCACAGGGGCCUAGAGCUGCAGGAUCCCAAGGGAGGGGUCUCUCUCCCCAUCCCAAGUCACCCAUCCCUUGUCAAUAAAUAUCCUCAUUGUCAGC